rnacentral:rRNA from 1 species
CCCUUAGAUGUCCGGGGCUGCACGCGCGCUACACUGUAGAAAGCAGCGUGCUUUAAAACCUUUCCUGAAAAGGAUGGGUAACCCCAGCAAAAUUCUACGUGCUUGGGAUAGAGAUUUGCAAUUUUCUCUCUUGAACGAGGAAUUCCCAGUAAGCGCAAGUCAACAGCUUGCGUUGAUUACGUCCCUGCCCUUUGUACACACCGCCCGUCGCUACUACUGAUUGGAUGUUUAAGCGAGGUUCUCGAACUGCUAGCGACUUAGCUUCGGUGAGGUCGCAGUGUGGGAAGUGAACCUAGCUUUGGUGUCUAGAGGAAGUAAAAGUCGUAACA